GAUCGUAGUAGGUGAAAAUACUUAUUCCGGUAGGUUCGUGAAGAAAUCAGCGCGAAACGAUAUUAUGUUCCGCUAUAUAUCAAGGAUGUAAGUAGGUCUCGCGGAAAAUACAUCCGACGAAGCAUCAAGGUGCACGUAAUCCUUUUUUCGAACGGCAAUAAAACUAUUCUUUGUCGCGUGUAGAAUUAUUUUAUAUCGGCCGAGCAGUCGCCAUCUUGCCUUACUGGGCGGGCAGAGAAAGAAAGACAGAAAGAAAGAAAGAAAAAGAAAGAAAGAGAGAACGGGCCGUGGCUGUGGUAUAGAUCGUCAUUGUGACAGCUUGGGAAAAGAAGCGUUCGAUAGACGGUCGGUCUUGAUGCGGUGCGCGCGUUCAUCGCGUCGCUUGUGCUCUCUACGAACGUAGGGAGAACGUAUCAUUUAUAGAAGAGAGUAACGAGCCCAAAUAUUGGAAAACAAGAGGAAGACUCUUUGAAAAGUGUGAAAUCUAAGAAGGUGGCAUAGAACGUACUGAAGGUAAUGGCAAUGGAGACGCCGAGAGAACGAGAGAUAGCCGCGGAGGAUAGUAUUAAGGUAGUCUGCAGGUUUCGACCGUUGAAUGACUCUGAGGAAAAGGCUGGCUCAAAGUUUAUUGUCAAGUUCCCAUCCGGUGGAGAGGAGAAUUGUAUCUCGAUUGGGGGAAAAGUAUAUCUUUUUGAUAAAGUAUUUAAACCAAAUGCUACACAAGACAAAGUAUACAAUGAAGCAGCUAAAUCUAUUGUCACAGAUGUAUUGGCAGGAUAUAACGGUACCAUUUUUGCUUAUGGACAAACAUCAUCAGGAAAAACCCAUACAAUGGAAGGUGUUAUUGGAGAUCCUAAUAAACAGGGUAUCAUUCCAAGGAUCGUUAAUGAUAUUUUCAAUCAUAUUUACAUUAUGGAGGAGAAUUUAGAGUUCCAUAUUAAAGUAUCUUAUUUUGAAAUUUACAUGGACAAGAUUAGAGAUCUUCUUGAUGUCUCUAAGGUAAACUUAAGUGUGCAUGAAGAUAAAAAUCGAGUUCCGUUUGUGAAAGGAGCAACUGAAAGAUUUGUAUCUAGUCCGGAAGAAGUUUUUGAAGUAAUCGAGGAAGGAAAGUCUAAUCGGCAUAUCGCUGUAACCAAUAUGAAUGAACACAGUUCUCGUUCUCAUUCAGUUUUCUUAAUUAAUGUCAAACAAGAAAAUCUUGAGAAUCAAAAAAAACUUUCAGGAAAAUUAUAUCUCGUUGAUCUGGCUGGUUCAGAAAAGGUGUCUAAAACUGGAGCUGAAGGUACUGUUCUUGAUGAGGCUAAAAAUAUUAACAAGUCUCUAUCUGCUCUUGGUAACGUUAUAUCUGCGCUUGCCGAUGGCAACAAAACGCACAUUCCUUAUCGUGACUCUAAACUGACAAGAAUUUUGCAAGAAUCACUUGGUGGCAAUGCUCGAACUACAAUUAUCAUUUGUUGUUCACCUGCUAGUUUUAACGAAUCAGAGACUAAGUCAACUCUAGAUUUCGGUAAACGUGCCAAAACUAUAAAGAAUGUUGUGUGUGUCAAUGAAGAAUUAACUGCAGAAGAAUGGAAACGCCGUUAUGAACGUGAGAAGGAAAAGGCUGCUAGACUUAAAGGCAAAGUUGAAAAAUUAGAAGCAGAAUUGUCUCGUUGGCGUCAAGGUGAGACUGUAAAACCCGAAGAACAAGUCAGUUUAGUGGAAGGACCUGAUGUUAUUACACCAAUUACUGCAUCUGUCGAAGGCAAACUUGACGACGGUCCUCUGCCUGCUACACCUGGUGGUGGACUUAUGGCUGGAUCUCUUUCGAAUGAAGAAAGACAAAAACUAGAGGAAGAACGUGAAAGACUGUAUCAACAGUUGGAUGACAAGGACGAAGAGAUUAAUCAACAAUCUCAAUAUGUUGAAAAGUUAAAGGAACAAAUGGAAGAACAAGAGGAAUUGAUUGCAAGCGCUAGAAGGGAUUAUGAACAAUUGCAGCAAGAAAUGAAUAGAAUACAACAGGAAAAUGAAAGUGCUAAAGAGGAAGUCAAAGAAGUUUUACAAGCUCUGGAAGAAUUGGCAGUGAAUUAUGAUCAAAAAUCACAAGAGGUGGAAUUGAAAAAUAAACAGCAUGAAAGAUUGACAGAAGAACUUCUCGCUAAACAAGCAACAUUAAAUAAUAUUGAAUCUGAAUUGCAACAAUUGCGUGAUAUGUCUGCUCAUCAAAGAAAACGUAUUGCUGAUAUGUUUGCUAAUUUUUUGAAAGAUUUAGGAGAAAUUGGAGUGGCUAUAGGUGGUGAUGAAAAUCUUAAAGUUACACCAGAAAGUAAUGGUAAAUUGGAAGAAGAAUUCACAGUUGCAAGACUCUUCAUUAGUAAAAUGAAAUCAGAGGUAAAAAAUUUAGUUCAACGUUGUCAAGGAUUAGAGAGUUCUCAAGUGGAUUGCAACAAAAAAGUUUCUGAAUAUGAAAAAGAUUUGGCAGAAUGUCGGCUCCUAAUCAGUCAACAUGAAGCUCGUACACAAACAUUAUCAGAAUCUAUGAAAGAAGCAGAAGCUCGAAAACGUGCUUUGGAAGAAGAUGUAGAUGCGCUACGGGAAGAAUGUGCAAAGCUUAAAGCAGCAGAACAAGUUCAAGCGGUUACUAAUAAAGAGAAAGCAGAAGAGAAAGAAGCAGCUACAAAGAUGAAAGUAGCUUUAGAAGAGCAAAUGGAUCAGCUGCGUGAUGUACACCAAAAGCAGGUCGCUGCGCUUAGGGAUGAAUUAUCUGAAAAACAAGAUUUGAUCAGUGAAUUGAGAGAUUUGAAUCAAAAAUUCACUUUAGCCCAUCAACGAAUGCAAGCGGAUUAUGAACGAUUGAAGCAGGAAGAAGUAAAUAAAUCGGUUAAACUCCAAGAAAUGAUAUUGCUUCAUGAACGCCGAGAACAAGCUAGAAAAGAGCUUAAAGGACUGGAGGAUACUGUUUGCAAAGAAUUGCAAACACUUCACAAUUUACGUAAAUUAUUCGUUCAGGACUUGCAGACUAGGAUAAAAAAAUCAAUUCACGUUGAGGACAAUGAGGACGAUGGUGGCUCACUUGCUCAGAAGCAAAAGAUUUCCUUUUUAGAAAAUAAUCUAGAUCAGCUUACGAAGGUUCACAAACAAUUAGUCAGAGAUAAUGCGGAUCUUCGAUGUGAAUUACCUAAACUUGAAAAAAAAUUAAGGACAACCGUUGAACGUGUAAAAGCUUUGGAAACAGCUUUGCGAGAUGCCAAAGAAGGUGCAAUGCGAGAUCGUAAGCGUUACCAAUAUGAAGUAGAUAGGAUUAAAGAAGCUGUCAGACAGAAAAAUUUGGCUCGUCGUGGACCUAGUGCACAAAUUGCAAAGCCUAUUCGAGCUGGUCAGCAUCAUUUAAGCAAUGUUAACGCUAUUAGAACCGGCAAUCGUGAUGCUCUUAAUUAAGAUACUACAUUAUGAUUGGGAAAUCGUGGGUUUGUUCGAUUUUGUACAAAAGGAGUCACUUCAGGCCGCUCUACAUUUUAGAAACACGAUCGCAAGAACGCUUUGCGUGCUGAGGUGCUAGGAGAUCGAAACAAACCAAUCUAUGGUGUAUUCAUAUAAAUGUUAUAUUUUAAAGGCAAUAGAUGUAUUAUAAUCUUAAAAAGCACCGUCACUUCUUUUUUUGUAGAAACAAGCAUGUGCUUAAAAGUAUACUAAUAUGAGUGCAUCAAUUUAUCAAUGCGCUGCAUGUCCCAUCCAUAUAUAAAUAUUUAACUCAAUUGCACUUAUAAAAAAGGAAAUUACCAUAAAUAUUCUCAAUUCUUUCUCAAUUAUAUGAAACAAUCUUGCUAAAAUAGCUUUGUUCUUCUGUAACUACAUAGCAUAAUUUUUUUCAAAAAGUUAAAAAUAUAUAAAAAUAAUAAUAAUGAUAAUGAUAAUGAUAGUAAAGAUAAUGGUAAUAAUAAUGAUAAUGAUAAUAAUAACAACAAUAAUAAUACUAUGCGAUUGUUAUUGUUAUAACAUCCGGUCUACCAUGGACUUUAUUUGUAAUAUCAAGUAUCAUUAAACUUAUGAUAAAUACAUUCAAAAUCGAAUGUUUUGGAUGGUACUAUUAGACUUGGAAACAAAAUGUUACUAAUUCAGUUAAGAGAUAUGAUCGGAUAUGCGGCCUUGAAAAGAACAGUAGAAAUAAUCAUGGCUUAUAAGUAUUCUUAAUUAUAAAAAAAAACUUCCUUUGUAGCUAUUGAAGAUUACAAUUGUCAAGAAUCUUAUCGAAUCUUGGAUCUAUUUGGUGUACCCACUUAACGAUAGUUAAGUACGUUGGUUUCUUACCAAUAAAAUUGUAGGUCCAAAAGCGAAUGAUAUUUAUAAAAAAAAAUAUAAACGAAAAGAUCUUUCAUCUUCACUUUCAAUUUACAUAUAUUAUUUUUAUAUAGCCAAUUAUCGCAGCAUUAAACAUUGCUAAGUGUUCCACUUAUAUUAAUUUAUUUUGUAUUCUAAUUUAUAUUAAAGACAAAUGAAAGCUGUUCGUCGAACAAUUGCUUUGCGUUCUGUGCAAAUAUAUUAAAUACUUAUCAUUUUUAAAGUCUUUCGUGCUGAAUCUAAUUUUGAAGUUACCAGUUUUAGAUAAUUUGGAUUUUAAUAAUAAGAUCUGUUUACGUUCUUAAAACUCGUUGUAAACUCUCAAAAUUACAAUCAUAUCUCACUUAAAAUUAUUUUAAUGUUAGGAAUAGACUAUUUGAAUAAUAUUUUUUAUAAUUGGGAUACAUAUAUGAAUAUUGAAGCCAUGUAUAGUAAAUAUAGUUUGCAAAUUUUGCAUAUCCUUAAAUUGAAAAUAAAUUUUUUCUUUUUCUUCUCUCUUUUUCUAUUAAAUGUAAUACAGUAUACUUUAUGAAAUUAUCCAUAAAUUAUUGUUCCAUAUCAAGAAACUUUUAUUAGAUAAAAUGAAUUUAUUUUUUUAUUUUAUUUUAAAAAUUUCUUUCAUGUAAUAGUCUGUUUCAUUAGGUCUAUCUUAUUUUUGUGAUAUGAGCAGCAAAAUUAUAUUUGUCAACAUAGUAAAGACAAAUUUGGAAUGUAGAAUAAAUGCAAUUAUUUUAAAAAUAUUCUUGUCAAAUAUAUAUAAAUAUAACUGCACUUGAAUGUCUUUAUAUUAAUUUAAAUAAACAUAUUAUUAUCCAUGGUACAUUGCUCACAAAUAACAUAGGUAUACAUUAAUCACCCGAAAUGCUUAAUGUGUUAAUAAUCUGUUAUUUAAAAUCUACAAAAAAUGCUGUUAGGUUCCCCUCAUUAUUAUAAAUAAAAAAAAUCACUGCUGAGUUUUUUUUAUCAUGAUUCAUGUAUUUUUCUGUAACUAAUGAAUCAUGACAUAAAAUCUCAGUAUACCGUAACAUUUAUUUUUAUAGAACAUCGAAUAAGCAUCAAUGCUCUUUUGCACUUCCGUAUAGAAAUAAAGAAUCAUUGCAAAGUGUACACAGAUUAUAAUUAAUUAAUACUAAUAAUCGUAAGCUUCAUGGCACUGCAUUCAAAAUGCAAUGGAUGUAUGUUCCAAUGAGAUGUAAAGGGUAUAGCAUCGUAAAUUAUAAAAUAAUUCCUAUAAAAGGAUGACUGAAAGUGUAUCUAUUUUCUUUUAAUGUAGCCAAAAUACACAUUUUUCAGACUAAGGAAAAUCAUGAUUGCUCACAUUACUAUACGUUAUAUAUUCUACAAUGUUAUAUCUCUUAUUAAGAUAGAAUGUUUUUGCAUUCUUUUUUAUUCUUUUGCAAUGCACAAUGUAAUUAUAUAUUUAAUGAACUACAUUUUUAAAAAAUUAAAUAAUUUUGAUCUAUGAUUUAUAAAAAUAUAUACUAUUGAAUGUGAUUGAAAAUUAAUUUAAAUUAUCUAAAUAAACAGUCUAUAACUGGAAUGAGCACCCAUAUAGCUGUAUUCAAAUAUUGUUAUUUAUUAGAAACUGAGUGUUAUAUAAUAUUGCAUUUACAGGUAAAGACAUUUUGGUUCUAUAAGAAAUAACAAAAAUAUUGCUAUA